rnacentral:rRNA from 1 species
UACGUAGGGGGCAAGCGUUGUUCGGAAUUACUGGGCGUAAAGGGCUCGUAGGCGGCCAACUAAGUCAGACGUGAAAUCCCUCGGCUUAACCGGGGGAACUGCGUCUGAUACUGGAUGGCUUGAGUGUGGGGAGAGGGAUGCGGAAUUCCAGGUGUAGCGGUGAAAUGCGUAGAUAUCUAGAGGAACACCGGUGGCGAAGGCGGCAUCCCUGGACCAUUACUGACGCUGAGGAGCGAAAGCCAGGGGAGCAAACGGG